rnacentral:rRNA from 1 species
GUCCUUAUCCACUGCGGGCGCAGGACAUUUGACAAGAUCAUUCCUUAGUACGAGAGGACCGGGAAUUGACUGACCUCUGGUAUUCCGGUUGUCACUACAGUGGCAGCGCCGGGUAGCUAUGUCGGGAAAGGAUAAGCGCUGAAAGCAUCUAAGCGCCAAGCCCCCUUGAAGAUGAGAUGUCCCUGAUUCUUUGAAUCCUGAAGACCGCUUGAAGACCACAAGCUUGAUAGGAUGCAAGUGUAAGAACAGUAAUGUUUUCAGCUUAGCAUUACUAACCGGUCGUGAGGCUUGACCAC